UGACAGUUUGAGAGGCCUGAGCCCUGCCUCUGAGGCCACACACGUGCUGAGCUGAACAAUCCUGGGACCGCAGGCUGAUUUGGCACCCUCAGACCCCUCUGGCCAUUGCCAGAACACCAAUGGGGACUUGAAGUAUAUCUUCUACUGAUAAGGAAGGACCACUGCUUCUUGCUAAAUUCUCAUAGCAACUGCACAAGUUAAACCUCUCCAGAAACAGCCUCACAGACACAUCCAGAGGUGUAUCUCCCAGGUGACUCCAAGUCCCAUCCAGUUGACAAUGAAGAUUAACAAUCACAGGAAUGAAGCAAAUGAUGCAGACAGCAGAAGCAGGGACAUGGCAAAGGAUCAGGACAUGAGUCCAGGCUGUUUGUCACCCAGGCAGAACUGUCCAGAACACUGUGAAGUGCUGAGUCUCACCACAGUGCUUGGAAUUCUUGUGUCCAGUCUUGUCAGAGGUUCUGCAGAAUGCAGCACAUUUGCAGAAACACCUAGAACUCUGGCGUAAUACCCAAGAUACAUACUGAAUCUUGAGUCUGGUGUGUCUUGUGUUUUUGUCUUCUCUUCUUUGAAGCUUUAGGACAGACGGUCUUUAGUUCCACUUUCUCAGUCUCCACACUGCAUUUACUUGAGGCAAAUACCAUCUAUGACUUGUCUGGACAUGAAGCCAAGUCUUGAGAUGUCAUUUCUGCUGCCCACUGGUCAUGGGACCUGUCUAGUCAUGGCUUAGACUUCCUUUUUCUUUCCAUCAUCCCAUCAUGGAAAAACUAGCCAACCUUCAAGUCUCUUCAUUUAGAGGAGUGAUGUGAAUCUUUGCCUCUCUGCGGUGUUGGAUCAUCAAGGAAGGGAUGUGAGGUACAUCACAAAGCUCCUAGGAAGCUGCCUGCUCCACCCAGAGGCAUAAUGGUAUCUGCUGAUUGUGCCACAGAGGUACCUUCAUGUCCCAGAAUCAGAGUGAGCUUCUGCCAUGGAAGAGACAUCCUUCAUGUGGCCUCAGGGUGAGGGUUGGAGUAUUGGAAUAAAACCCCACUUUGUAACCAAUGAUGUAUCUGAAUUGGAAUCUCAUCUCUGCCACUUCUUAUACCUCUGAUCUGGGACAGCCCUGGACCUCGGUUUUCUCAUCCACCAAUACUGGUGACCAUGGUAACAGUAUCUCUUAUGCUGAAGGAUGAGUUUGACUCACAGAUUUCCUCUAUGCAAAUAUAUUUUGCCAACUAUAAUGGUGAGUAAAUGCUUUGUCACUGUUGUUGAUAAGCUGGGAGGUGGGUGGCAAGUGUCCUAGCAACCCCAUGGGACAUUUCCAGAAAUGUUCUGAGACAGAGCAGAAAGGCUUUGUGAAAGUCAAGUCAUAAACAGUCCCACAAGCAAAGACAGCAGAAAAUAUUGGCCUUUGGGAUUAAGGGUUCCCCCCGCCCCUGCAGAAAAACUGUAAAAGAGUUGUAGAAAGAUGAGUAGGGGGAACAAAUGGGACAUUUUCCCAGCUGGGCAGAAGGGACGCUGAUUGAGUACAAUCAAUGCCACCAGCCUGCUAACGAGACCCAAUCAGGCGGGGCGAUUAGAGAUAUUCUUCAAGGAAAGAGACAGCUGCAGGAAACUUUCCAGAUUUCUAGAGGGGAGAAAACUGGAGAGCUAGAGUGCUGAGGCGGAAAGAUGAUGGGAGGGAAAUGGAAUCAGCAAAGCUGGCGUUCCCACCCCACCCAUCCAUGAAGUCAAAAAGGGAGAAGGUGGGGGCCCUGCUGCCUUCUCCACUUUUUCAGAUGUUAUCCUGUUCAUAGUCACUUGCUCUCAUUUCCUUCCUCCUGCUGGACCAGGGUAGCAGGACUUCCCUGCAUCUUGCCCGAGACAGACAGCACUUAAGCACCUCACAAGGGUUCCAGCUAACAACUGCCAAGCCCAUCACGGGCUCCAAAGCUUCCUCAUACACUAGAUCCUUUGGCCUCACAGAACCCCGCGGAGGCAGGGAUUUUCAAUAUCUUCCACGUUUGAAGGGUGAGUUUAAUGUAGCUCACUUCAAUACAAAUUUACUGAGCAUCAAUUUUGCACUUAGCAUUUAUGGUAGUGUUGAAUUAUAUAGUGUCUGCUCUCGGGGAGCUCCUCGUCUGGUGAGGAAGGCAUAGUUCAGUUCAGUAGUGUGUGGUAGCCCUUCCUUUCAGUGGUAUUGCAACCAAUGCAUGGAGGGGGAAUCAUUCAUUUUAAAAAGUCAUUUUGCAAAAUAUCAAAACGUCAUUGAUUCGUGCACGAAUCAGUCAAUAGAUACUAAAGCCACUGAGUGCAAAUUGGAUGAUGACUAGAGUAUUUACGAUCACAAAGUGCAGAAGUCAAACUAUCUCCCCAUAGAUUACUAAUUCAUCACCCAGAGGAAAACAGUAAACUUAUAAGAAAGUUUGGAAGACAAUGCAUAGCAAAGUAAAGGAUGUCAAGGGUAGGGGGAACUGAUUUCCACAUGCUUCUCAAUGUGACAGACUAAAGCGCAUAACACAAUCUGUGCAGUUCUGCAGCUGAAAUUACCUGUGAGGAAACCCUGACACAUAACCACACCAAGAGGCAUACAACAACUGACAUGGGAAGUCAUCAAUGUUGUCAAAGACUAAAGUUGAGAAACUAUCCCAUAUGAAGAGACUGGAGUGAUACCAUGGCUAAAGGCAACACAGGCCACCACAUCAAACCCUAUAUCAGGAAAAGAAUUUUCUGCCCAUCUUAGUUACCUCCUUAUUAUAGUUAUAAUCACCUUGACCAAAGCAACUUCAGGAGAACAGGCUUGCUCUGGCUCCAAGUUCAAAGCACAGUUCAUCAUGGUGGGGAAGUCAAGGCGGUAGAAGCAGCUGCUCACAUUGUGUGCACAACCAAGAGCAGAGAGUGGUAAGUGCUUGCACAAUGCUCAACUCAUUUUCCCCACUUUAGAUAGUCCAGGAGCUCCUGUCCAGGGAAUGGAUCUGUCCCCAGUGACCCACUCUCUCCAGUGAGACUCCACUUCCUAAAGGUUCCACACCAUAGUGCCAACAGCUGGGGACCAAGAGUUCAAACACAAGAGACUAUGGGGGCAUUGCACAUUUAAACCACAAUACCAUGGGACAUUUAGAGGAUAAUCUGGCAAACUUUAAGUAUAGACUACAUAAUAGUAGACUCAUGCUUCGAGUGAAUUAGAUGAAUGUGUUGCAGAAUACAGCUACCUGUUCAACACCUGCACAUGGGUGUAUAAAAGCCUGCUUACACUCAACUCUUCAUCCUGUAACUAUCGGAUUUCCCACGUUGACCAGCGUCACCACCACCUGCCUAAUGCUCAGUCAAAAUGCCUAUAAGGCAUGGUUGAUACUUUUUCUGUUAUCCUGAGAGCCUGCCACCAAUUCCUUAAUGACUUUAUCUUCAAAUUUUAUUACACAUGGAUUCACUCCUUUACAUCUCCACUGCCACCACUCUGGUCCAAGUCAUAUAGUCUCACAAAAGGACCACAACAAUAAUCUCUUCAAUUUCUCCCACAAGAUACCAUUAACAUCCGGGCUAAAGAAAAUGCAUAUCAAUACAGUAAUUACUUGUCCUAAAACUCUCAAAAGCUCUCUUUAACCUUAGAAUGAAAUCCUGGAAGUGUCUACCUUUCCCAAAAGGAAGCUUCAUGCCCUAUAUCCUCAAGACUAAAUUCUGAAAUCCAAAUCCAGAGUAACCUCAUACAAGUGGCUAAAAUACAGCACAAAAUGUAUUCUCACAUUUCAGGGUAUCUCCUGAUAAGAUUAGGAGAGCAGAUGGGAAGACACAUGAUGCUGAGAACGGAAAUAAAGGUAUAUAGGCAGAACAUAAUUCAUCUGAGGACUUUAUGCCUCUAAAUUUUGUAGUCUUCUUAGUACGCUGUGCAGAAUCUAUAGGAGUCCUACUAAGCUUGACUAGGGUCCUCCCACAUUCUUAGAGGUCCUAUUAUGAGUUUCUCUAAGAUGGCACUUCCAACUCGCCUAUAUAUCCAUCCCUGUCAACACUACUUUUAGAUCUAUAGCCUAGACUCAAGUCUCAACCCAUCCCAAAGGCCAAAGAGACAAAAUGAGUUGUGAGACAGUUAUUACACAUUUUUAAAGCUAUAGUAAUUUUCCAAUAUACACAAAUAGGAGUCUGGGGAAUAUUUGCAGAAGCAGAUAUUCCAACAGUGGGACCAGGGUGGAAGGAUUUAAAGGUGAAUCAGGCUAAACUUAUUGAUGAGGUUCCACCAAGCAGGUAGUCUAGAUUCAAGUUUAGCUUAAUGGGCUAGAAAGGGUUUUAAUUGUUGGUUUACUGGGUAGGUGAUUAUGUGAGUUGGUGAGUUGUUCAGUUAGUUCGUUGACUGGUUGAAAUGUGGAUCCAAAUAUGGCCUAGAGCAGUUGAAGGUAAGAUGUCAAAAUUGCCUUGGUAUAUUACAGGGGAAGAUAUCCAAAUACAUGAGGAAAUUUAUCAUGUCCGAUCUAUUUACCUACCCCAGAAGGAUAUAUAAUACAUAAUUCUCUAUACAUAUAAUAUAUAUUUCUAAAACUGUCAGAAAUGAGUGUAUGAGGGGAGUGAUAGCUCUUCAAAGAGUUCAUUGGUCACUCUUUACAGUAGACACUGAUACUCCUGGACUGAGAUCCCUAAGUGCAAUGGGUGUCAUGGGACCGUGGGUGGCACAGACCAUGCGGUACCACUUAAUUACCAAAGACCAGGUGGAAAUGGUGACUGCAAUAGGCAACAGAGUUUGACUUCAGAGAUCCAUGACAUUACCUUAGAAAAGAAACAGACCUGUAGGACUAAACUGUUACAUGAUCCUAUGGACAGACUUUUAAGACGAGGGAGGAGAUCUCUUACUUUAAUUGUACAGAUAGUCAUGGGCCCUUAAUCAUUUCAUUUUUCGAGCCUUGAGAGCCAGUUUAUAGACUCAGGACUCUGAAUGAAAGAGAAGAACCAAGGUAUCUUUAAGGAAAGAUCCUUACAGUUGUCCAAAAAUGCAUUGUGCUGAUCUUUCUCCCAGCAUUCUCUGUAAGGAUACACAGCCUUUUACCAAGGGAGGUGUGACUGAGGAAAGAGAAACAAAUAAUCAUAGUGUUUAGGGGUUUGGGAGUAUUGGUUCUGAACUGACACUCAUUUUCAGUGAACCAAAAAUGUCACUAUAGUUAACUAGUCAAGGCAAGAUCUUAUGGAAGCCAGAUAACUGAUCAAAUCUGAGCACCAGGCCAUCUCUCUGUGGGUCCAGUCAACCCCUGAACUGGUCUUAUAGUUAUUUUCCCAGUUCUGGGAUUUGCAAUUGAAACAGACAUACCCAGGAGCUGGCAGAAUGCCUACAAUGCUUCCCUGUCUUGUGGAGGGAAGAAUAUCAUGGUGGGAAAGGUCAAGUGGAAGCUACUAGAACUGCAUCUCCCUUUAGAAGCAGUAAAUCAAGAGUCGUCAGCAUUUCUGGAGGAAGUCCAAGACUAAUGCUAUAGGGGAGAGAGAGAUGCCUCUCACCCAUCGCAAGGGUCAUGCCAACACCCUGUAACAAAACAGAGCAACAGGAAAGGCUAGCAAUCCAUGUAACCAAAAUAGUACUGAACACGAGAGCCCUCGGAAGUAAAAAUCUAAAGGCCUUGAGAAAAUUGGGUAUGUUUAUAUAAAAUCUCACGAAACAAGCAAUAGGCACUAGAGUUUGACAACUGAACAAAAGUACGGUAAGGACUAAUGGUACUAACAGGGCACGAGGGACAGAUCUUAUUUCCUUUUCCUGCUGCUGUCAUGAAAUACUCUGAUGGAAGGAACUUAAGAGCAAAAGAAUGAUUCUGGACGAUAGCCGGUCGUGAUAGGGCAGUCUAAGCAGCUGGACUUGAAGCUUACAUCCCACCCAUGAUCUGGAAGCAUAGAACAGUGUUCGCUGCUGCUCAGUUUCUGUCUUUCCUUUAUCCAGUCCAGGAUUCCAGGUAGGGAAUAAUUCCAUCCACAGUAGGCAGGUCUUGCCAUCUCAAUUAACUCAGUCAAGACAAUCCCUCAAAGGCAUGCAUGCUCAGAGGUGAUUCUUAGACUCUGUCAAAUCAACAACACCAACCAUGGCCCUAGGUAUAAAGCAAAGCCCUUCUGGAAUGGGUUCUUAUGACUUACUUCAAGUGAGAUGAGUCAAAGAACUCCCUUAUGGCCAUGCUUCAGGGGAGAACUAUGAGGGAGGGUCAGGGGCGACCCCUGAAGCCUGUACUUUCUCCUUCUGACAUACUGCUUUGUAGGUUACCUUGUUCUAAGGCACAAAGGAUGCAGGUGCUUCCCACCAGAGUUCUGUUUAACUUACCUAUUCAAUACACAGAGGGAUCUUAGAGAAUGGCAAUGGGUCAUCACAGGUAUCUAUGCUUGGUUUAUGGAGUCAGUUAGAUGGCAAUUUCAUGAAGAGCUGGGCCAAGCAAGGUUCAUCAGAAGGCUGUGCUCUAAACCAAAGCCUAAUAAAUGGUGGUGUCCUCCCUCUAAUCAAGAUCCAUGUACAUGGGAAUCAGGGAGUGAAAGUGGGAGUGUUUUCAUUAGCCGUUACACUCUGAGCUGUGUCAAAAUGUCUGUUUCUCAACCCUGUAACUUUAGCUCUGGUGGCCUAGAGGUCUUACAUCUGAAGGGAACAAUGCUUCUCAAGUGAAGAAAAUACUGAUUCCAUUGCUAACAACUGCUAUACAACCUCAUAUCUCUGAACCAACAGAAGGAGAAUAUGCAAAUGUCAUAGCCCAAAUGAUCAAUCUUAAUUACCAAGUGGAACCUGGGUUGUUGAUAUACAACAGAGAUAAGAAAAAGUGCAUCUGGAAGACAGGAGCCUAACAGGGCCUCUCUUAGCACAUUCAUGCCCUAUGAUUUAAGUCAAUGGAAAACUACAACUUAAUUCAGGAGGGUUGCUAAGGACACAAACCCUUCAGAAAUGAAAUCUUGAGUUGCCUUGCUAGUGAAGAUACUCACUGAAGGCAAAGGAAUAUGGACUGGGUAGUGGGAGGAGGUAGGUGUAGAUACCAGCUGUGCCCUUAGGACAUUACAAAGAUUAUGAUGGUUAUAAGUAUGUCUUUCUAAUUGUAUAAUGGGUACAGGCAAAUAUUGAAACUGGUUAUGAAAGAGAGAGAGAGAGAUUACUUUGUUAGGUGGCUUAGUAUUGUUCAAAUAUUGUAGAUUAUACCUAUAUAAACUAAGAUGUUUACAAUAUAGUGAUAUAAACUUUUGGGACCACCAGCAUAUGCACAAUUUGUUGGCCUAAAGAUUAUCAUCUGUCAUAUGACUAUAUUCCAGAAAUAAAGCUGCAACUAGGAGAACUGAAAAAGCUUCCACCAACAACAGUGAUUAUUUAUAGUGUUUGAGUUGACAGUUAUGUUCCUUUGUCAAUUGACCUAUCUUGGUCCUAUGAAAACCUAGUUGAUUGUGAUAGGUGAUGAUGAACUACUCCAAGCUUAACUAGAUGGUAGCCCUGAUUACAGCUGAUGAGGCCCAUGUAGUCUCUGUACAUGAUUAUGAACUCACCUUGGAAUAUAACUAAAAACCUGGUCAACAGAUUUUUGAUCCCAUUAGUAGGAAAGGGAUUUAAAAUUUGCACUUACAUGGUAAAGGCAGCAAUGCACCCACACAGUCUUUUCCAAGAGCUACAUUGUACACAGGACCUCGACACUCUACAGGUUGUUAAGGGGUCCAGUGUAACGAUUGUAUUGCUGUGCUGAAGUAGAAAUUACCCUUAAAAAUUGUUUUUCAAACAUUCUGUAAAGUGUAAGAGAUUUUUUUUUCCAGUUUAUUACAAACUGAUUCUUAGAUUUUGUGUCAUUCUUCACUUAUAACUAAAUACAAGGUUAUGG